GUGGGGAAUAUUGGACAAUGGGGGAAACCCUGAUCCAGCCACGCCGCGUGGGUGAUGAAGGCCUUCGGGUUGUAAAGCCCUGUCGGGAGGGACGAAGUCCGCAAGGAUUGACGGUACCUUCCAAGAAAGCACCGGCUAACUCCGUGCCAGCAGCCGCGGUAAUACGGAGGGUGCGAGCGUUGCUCGGAAUUACUGGGCGUAAAGCGUACGCAGGCGGCUCGACAAGUCGGAUGUGAAAGCCCUGGGCUCAACCCAGGAACGGCAUCCGAAACGGUCGAGCUGGAGUUCGGGAGAGGGAAGUGGAAUUCCUGGUGUAGAGGUGAAAUUCGUUGAUAUCAGGAGGAACACCGGCGGCGAAAGCGGCUUCCUGGCCCGAUACUGACGCUCAUGUACGAAAGCGUGGGGAGCAAACAGGAUUAGAUACCCUGGUAGUCC
rnacentral:rRNA from 1 species